GUCUUAUCGUUAACAAGGCACUUGAACUUAUCCAGCUGUAGCUGGCUUUUGGGGAAUGAUAUCCUUCAGAAGGUAGAGGACAUUGAGAAAGCUGGUAAAACAGCAGACAAAGUGGGUAAGACACCCAAGCCGUCUAAGCGACAGAGCUGGUACAGCAGUCCUUUGGCCGCAGUAGACACUGCCCUACCAAAGAUGGUUUUUGGCCUUGGACGCGGGAUGAACUCCCGGGGCCAGUCCUUUCGUGACCGCCAGCACUCAAGGGGCAGGUCGGGAAGGUCUAAGGGCCGUGGACGGCAGGCAAAAAAGUAGUUGCCUUUUCUCCUCCUCUCGAGCCGGGGUCGCCCCCUGUGAUGGGCACCUCACUUCCCCCAGUGGCAGGCAGAAUUCAGAACUUUUUUCCUCAAUGGAAAACCAUCUGCUCAGACCCUUGGGUUCUGGGCGUUGUCAGCAGGGGACUGAGGUUCCAUCUCACAGGGCGACCCCGCCAACUCGUCCCUCCAGAGGAGGUGACGGGCCCAGAAGAAGAUCUUCUGGCAGCAGAAGUGUUAUCUCUUCAGCAGAAGGGAGCUAUUGUAGAGGUCCCACCGUUAGAGGACCAGUUUUUGUCCCGUUUGUUUCUGGUUCCAAAGAAGGACGCAAGUUGGCGUCCGGUUAUAAAUCUCCGUCCUCUGAAUCAAUAUAUAGUAUCAGAGCAUUUCAAGAUGGAGGGGAUGAAGGAAGUAAAGUCCCUCCUACGUCAGAAUGAUUGGAUGGUAACCUUGGAUAUCAAGGAUGCCUACUUCCAUUUGCCACUACACCAAUCAGUCAAGAAACUCCUUCGGUUUCGUUUCAGAAACCGAAUUUGGGAGUUCCAAGCAUGCCCGUUUGGGCUCAAUGUCGCCCCAAGGGCGUUUACGAAGGUGUUAAAACCAGUAGUUGCAGUUAUCCGAUCCAAGGGAAUUCGGAUAGUGAUUUACCUGGACGACAUGUUGAUCCUAGGCUCGUCUCGGGCACAAUGUCUCCAGCACCUGCAAUUUGUAAUAGAUCUUCUGACACAUUUGGGGUUCCUAAUCAAUUGGGAAAAGUCUCAAUUGAUCCCAACCCAGCGAUUAACAUUCCUGGGGAUAGACGUGAACUCCCUUCUCAUGACUCUGUCUCUCCCGCAGGAGAAGAUAGUGAAGAUAUCCAGGGCUUGUACCUCCUUGCUGAGGUCGCCUCACGUCACACUUCGGCAGAUUGCCGAAGUGGUGGGUCGCUUGAACGCCGUGGCAGUAGCGGUUUUGCCUGCUCCUCUCUAUUACAGGAGUUUGCAGAGUUGUCUAAACGAGGCUCUGACUCAAAAUUGCCCGUGGGACAGCAAAGCGAUGUUGUCCCCAGCAGCUCGCUCGGAACUAGUUGCGUGGGCAACUUGCUUACCGCAGUGGAAUGGACGAGCCAUUCUUCCAAGUCCCAUAGCUCUGUUAAUAACAACAGACGCAUCGCUCCAAGGCUGGGGAGCGGUUUGCGAGGGACGCAGGACUGGUGGCCGUUGGUCUCCUCAAGAGAGGAAGAGCCACAUCAACGAGCUGGAGCUCAAGGCGGCAUUUUUUGGCCUAAAGUGUUUUGCCAGCAAUCUGCAGAGAAACAGCCAUGUCCGCCUAAGGCUGGACAAUACGGCAGCAGUGGCAUACAUAAACAGGCAAGGGGGCUGUCAUUCACAGCCCCUCUGCCAGAUGGCUAUAGCUGUGUGGAAGUGGGCCUUAGGCAAGGGUCUGACGUUAUCAGCAGAACACUUGCCGGGCCAGGACAAUGCAGAGGCCGACAGGGCGUCCAGACACCUCCAAGACCACACAGAGUGGACUCUACAGCCACUCCUCUUCCAACAAGCAUGUCAGACGCUUCAGUUCCACCCAGAGGUCGAUCUGUCCAGGAUAAACCGACAACUGCCUCGGUAUUGUGCUUGGCACCCAGACCCAGAGGCGUGGAAAAUAGACGCCUUCAGUUGCAGUUGGAGCGAACUGAAAGGGUACGCGUUUCCACCUGUCUGUCUCCUCACUAGAGCAGGCGGAAGUGUUGGUGGUAGCACCAUUCUGGCCCUCUCAGCCGUGGUUCCCACUGCUGCGGGAACUACCGGUGGGAGAACCGCUGUUCCUUCCCACAGGACCAGACGUGCUACAUCUUCCAGGGCUAGAGGAAGUUCAUCCUCUGUGGCGGAUACUGAGACUAGCCGCCUGGAUAGUGUCAGGCAAGCACUAAUUUCUGCAGGGUUGUCAUACGACGCAGCGGCUAUUUCAUGUGCCGCUCAGCGGAAAAGUACUCAGAAACAGAAUCAAGCAGUCUGGAAAUGUUUUUCAAACUGGUGCAAGACUAAGGCGUUGGAUCCGUUUAAGGCAACGGUUCCAGAGGUCAUAGAGUAUCUUAAGUGCCUUUACCAAGAGGGUCUCUCUUAUAAAACUAUAAAUGUUCAUCGCUCUGCGAUUUCAUCUACCCGUCUGACCUCAGAUGGAUGUCAGAUAGGGCAACACUGGACGGUCAAUAAUUUUAUGCGAGGAGUGUUUAAUAUGCGCCCUCCAAGACCAAGGUACCUAGUUACCUGGGACGUGGGUACGGUUCUGAAGUUUCUUCAGACAUGGGAACCCUUAGAGUCCCUGAGUUCGAAACAGCUCACUCAGAAAACCCUGUCUUUGAUGGCCUUGGCAUCGGCAGAUAGAUGCGCGACAUUAGCAUCUUUAUCUCCAGAUCUGAUGAGCAUUUCAAACGCCAAAGUUGUCUUUGUUCCUGUGGAACUGACUGAAUCGGACAGGCCGGCUCGGCCCUAUAGAGAGAUUACAUUUCAAUCUUACCCGGGUCAUAGUGAGAUCUGUGUGGUAAGACAUAUCAGAGAGUACUUAAGGAGAACUCUGUCUCCUAACAGGCCUAACAAGUUUUUCUUGUCCUAUAAGACACAGAAACCAGUGGUGUCUGCCACUUUGGCCAGAUGGCUGGAAGAUGUUAUGCAUCUUUCGGGUAUUGACACUAGUGUUUUCAAAGCACAUUCUCACCGCGGCGCUGCUGCGUCUGCGGCAGUGAGAAGAGGCUUGUCAUUGAAGGAUUUGUUAAAGCUGGCGGACUGGGCCUCAGCCAGGACUUUCCAAACCUUCUAUUUUCGACCAGAGGUCGAGUCUGAUUUAGGCAGAGCUCUUUUGUCUCAGUUAUGAUUGGCGAGACUGUGUCCUUCGGCCAUACAGUCUGUUAGCUCUGUCCUUUCAUCCGGCACUUACAGCUGUGAAAUUUGGGGAGGAGGCAGCAGGAGCAUCCUUCAACUUCAGCUGGACGACAUUGGAGGGAGACACGACUCCAAGGGGUCCAGUCACCUUUCCACACAGAACUAGGUGUUCACUUUAGUUUACAUGGCCAGUGCACAGAUUGGAGUCUCUAACUCUGUAACUCUCCAAGGUGCUCAGAGGUUAGUUGACUUCCAAGACCGACUGCUGCAAGCUGAGGAAGCAUUGACCCGGGACCAGGUAUUUCGUAUCAGGCGUCUGUGCCGAGACUUUACAGACCCACUGACAGAAGAACAGCUUCAGACAUUAUCUCCAGCUGGCAUCGCCAAACUGUUGUUUAAGGAACUCCAAAAGAAGAACCUGAUAGGUCCCUACAACACAGUGCUGUUGGGAGACGUGCUGACUAAGGUUGGGCGUGCCGACCUUGCUGCAUGCUUCUAUCCCUGCUAUUGAACAGUUCCACAUCAUCAUCAUU